rnacentral:tRNA from 2 species
UGGGGAAUGGCCAAAUGGUAAGGCACCUGUCUCUGGAUCAGGCGAUUCAAGGUUCGAGUCCUUGUUCCCCAG